UACGGAGGGUGCGAGCGUUAAUCGGAAUAACUGGGCGUAAAGGGCACGCAGGCGGGCUUUUAAGUGAGAUGUGAAAUCCCCGGGCUUAACCUGGGAAUAGCAUUUCAGACUGGGAGUCUAGAGUACUUGAGGGAGGGGUAGAAUUCCACGUGUAGCGGUGAAAUGCGUAGAGAUGUGGAGGAAUUCCGAAGGCGAAGGCAGCCCCUUGGGAAUGUACUGACGCUCAUGGACGAAAGUGUGGGGAGCAAACAUG
rnacentral:rRNA from 1 species